rnacentral:rRNA from 1 species
UACGGAGGUGGCAAGCGUUGUUCGGAAUUACUGGGCGUAAAGGGCGCGUAGGCGGCUAGGCAAGUCAGGUGUGAAAGCCCCGAGCUUAACUCGGGAAUUGCAUCUGAAACUGCUGUGCUUGAGUUCUGGAGGGGGUAGUGGAAUUCCCAGUGUAGCGGUGAAAUGCGUAGAUAUUGGGAGGAACACCUGCGGCGAAGGCGGCUACCUGGACAGAAACUGACGCUGAGGUGCGAAAGCGUGGGGAGCAAACAGG